rnacentral:rRNA from 1 species
CAUGCAGUCGUGGGGUAGAGGGGAGCUUGCUCCUCUUGAGACCGGCAAACGGGUGAGGAACACGUACACAACCUUCCUUUUAGUGGGGGAUAGCCCAGGGAAACUUGGAUUAAUACCCCGUAAUAUGGCGAUGAGGCAUCUCAUUGUUAUUAUAGCAGCGAUGCGCUAGAAGACGGGUGUGCGUAUGAUUAGGUAGUUGGCGGGGUAACGGCCCACCAAGCCGAUGAUCAUUAACUGGUGUGAGAGCACGACCAGUCACACGGGCACUGAGACACGGGCCCGACUCCUACGGGAGGCAGCAGUAAGGAAUAUUGGUCAAUGGACGCAAGUCUGAACCAGCCAUGCCGCGUGGAGGAUGAAGGUCCUCUGGAUUGUAAACUUCUUUUAUAGGGGGCGAAAAAACGGUUAUCUAACCGGACUGACGGUACCCUAUGAAUAAGCACCGGCUAACUCCGUGCCAGCACCCGCGGUAAA